rnacentral:rRNA from 1 species
GACAGAGGGGGCAAGCGUUGCUCGGAAUUACUGGGCGUAAAGGGCGCGUAGGCGGGAUGGCAAGUCGGUCGUGAAAUCCCUCGGCUCAACCGAGGAACGUCGAUCGAUACUGCUGUUCUUGAGGAUUGCAGAGGAGACUGGAAUUCCCGGUGUAGCGGUGAAAUGUGUAGAGAUCAGCAGGAACACCCGUGGCGAAGGCGGCCCCCUGGGCCGAACCUGACGCUGAGGCGCGAAGGCUAGGGGAGCGAACGGG